CAACUGUCUACAGCAUUCAUAUGCUUGAGAGAAGGUAUACGCUUCUCUGGUUCGGUGAUUGUGGUGUCGGCUGCAGUGCUUGGAGUCCUCAGGAAGCGCUAGGAGCAUCUUUCAACUGAGGUACCCAGUCGGGGUGCCAGGCGAUCCGUUACAGGGGUCAAGUCUGGGCUUUUUCAGAAUCGGGGUUACAGUUGCAUGUUUGAAGGGUGAGGGAAAUGUGCCAGAAAAAAGGGAGAGAUUGAACAUUUUAUUUUGAUUUCUAUUGACCUUGGCUUGGCACCAUUUACCUUCUUUCUGUACUCCUGAUCUCAGCUUGUCCUGUUCGUUCUAGUUUUUAUGUUAAAUCUGGCCAUUCCAAGGUCCGGUAAUAUGUUUAGGGUUUUCUAUUACUUUGUUGGCUACUUAGGUUCGGAAAACCUGACAAAGCCUAGAGGGGUUUAAAUAGGAUCAAGCCUUAGCAUCACAUUUGUAUUAGAUUCACAGAGCCUUAAGUAUAUCGAACAGAAUACCAACUAAUAAUGAAUAAAACUCACAAAGGUUGUGGCUCGUGUCAUCUUAGGAUUUAUAGAGGCCAAAAUUACAUGAGAGUAACAUAUAGUUACAUCAUUACAUGCAUCCAUCAAGUUCAACCUUUAAUGUAUUGAAAAUGUUUCUACAUCUGGAUGAGAGAUAUUGGUGAGAAAAUGGUGCAUACAAAUUAGUGAGCGACCACAAAGACUGGCAUGAGUGCUUGGUCGACUAAGAAUGUGACAUUGACACUGCUGUGUAAAACUCAGUUAAUGAUCUCUAUAUUUGAUGCAAGCUUCUAGUGGGGUAAAUUUGAAGCAGAAUGCCUGACUUAUAGAGUGGCUUUACAGCAUGUCAGUUUGGUGCUUUACUAGGGCAGCCCAUAAACGCAAAAAAUGGGGGGAGCAUAACAAGUAUUCUAUACUUAUCAAUGAGUAUUCACAAAGAUAUAAUGGAAGAAAGAUGCAAGUAGGCUAGUACAAAAUAAAUAAACGUAAAGCAGAUACAGUUGCAAGAAAAAGUAUGUGAACCCUUUGGAAUGAAAUGGAUUUCUGCAC